rnacentral:tRNA from 1 species
AGCCCUGUAGUGAAGAAUCACGUUGGGUUGCAAACCCAAAGACGUAGAAUAAUACCCUGCCGGGGCUU